rnacentral:rRNA from 1 species
GGGACACGUGGUAUCCUGUCUGAAUAUGGGGGGACCAUCCUCCAAGGCUAAAUACUCCUGACUGACCGAUAGUGAACCAGUACCGUGAGGGAAAGGCGAAAAGAACCCCGGCGAGGGGAGUGAAAAAGAACCUGAAACCGUGUACGUACAAGCAGUGGGAGCCUCUUAAUGGGGUGACUGCGUACCUUUUGUAUAAUGGGUCAGCGACUUAUAUUCUGUAGCAAGGUUAACCGAAUAGGGGAGCCGAAGGGAAACCGAGUCUUAACUGGGCGUUAAGUUGCAGGGUAUAGACCCGAAACCCGGUGAUCUAGCCAUGGGCAGGUUGAAGGUUGGGUAACACUAACUGGAGGACCGAACCGACUAAUGUUGAAAAAUUAGCGGAUGACUUGUGGCUGGGGGUGAAAGGCCAAUCAAACCGGGAGAUAGCUGGUUCUCCCCGAAAGCUAUUUAGGUAGCGCCUCGUGAAUUCAUCUCCGGGGGUAGAGCACUGUUUCGGCAAGGGGGUCAUCCCGACUUACCAACCCGAUGCAAACUGCGAAUACCGGAGAAUGUUAUCACGGGAGACACACGGCGGGUGCUAACGUCCGUCGUGAAGAGGGAAACAACCCAGACCGCCAGCUAAGGUCCCAAAGUCAUGGUUAAGUGGGAAACGAUGUGGGAAGGCCCAGACAGCCAGGAUGUUGGCUUAGAAGCAGCCAUCAUUUAAAGAAAGCGUAAUAGCUCACUGGUCGAGUCGGCCUGCGCGGAAGAUGUAACGGGGCUAAACCAUGCACCGAAGCUGCGGCAGCGACACUAUGUGUUGUUGGGUAGGGGAGCGUUCUGUAAGCCUGUGAAGGUGUACUGUGAGGUAUGCUGGAGGUAUCAGAAGUGCGAAUGCUGACAUAAGUAACGAUAAAGCGGGUG